rnacentral:rRNA from 1 species
UGAUUGAAAAUAUAAAAACUUCUUUUAACGCUUCCCAUUCCGAACAGAGAAGUUAAGCCCGACUGCGCAGAUGGUACUGCAAUCUUGUGGGAGAGUAUGUCGUCGCCUU